GACGAACGCUGGCGGCGUGCCUAAUACAUGCAAGUCGAGCGGACGAUUCGAAAGCUUGCUUUUGAAUCGUUAGCGGCGGACGGGUGAGUCACACGUGGGCCCCCUGCCCUGUAGUCGGGGAUCUUCACGAGAAAUCGGUGCUAAUCCCGGAUAACACGCUAUGUCGCAUGACGUUUCGUUGAAAGGCGGCGCAAGCUGCCGCUCCAGGAUGUUACCGCGUCGCAGUAGCUGGUUGGUGGGGUAAAGGCUCUGACAGGUGGCGAUGCGUAGCCGACCGGCGGGGGUGAUCGGCCACACGGGGACGGAGACACGGCCCAGACGCCUGCGGGAGGCAGCAGUAGGGAAUCUGCCGCAAUGGUCGAAAGUCUGACGGAGCAACGCCGCGUGAGAGAAGAAGGCCUUCGGGUCGUAAAGCUGGGUUUUUAGGGAAGAACAAGUAACGUAGGAACUGACGUGACUAUGACGGUACCUAACGAGAAAGCCACGGCUAACUACGUG
rnacentral:rRNA from 1 species